ensembl:lncRNA
GCACAUGGGAAGGAGAACUGGUAGGGUCCAGGGACAGGUCCAGGAGGCUUUGUUGGCGUCCAACACCAGCUCUCUUGCUCAGAUGGCUCAGGUAGGUGCAGUCCUCCUUUGAGCUGGAGGACCGGAGCCCCAGCCAUCAUCCCACAGGGAGCCAUGUGCCUGUGAUUCACCCAGCACAUCUCUGUGGGCUCGAGGGCGCAGUUUCAUGAAAAUGUCCUUUUCCCUUAGCUAAGAGGAUGGUUACAAAACGUACUGAAAUUUGUUUUUUACCCUUUAGAGCUUCCAGAACUUUGUGCUCAUCUAUCUUACGUUAUUUUUCUUUCUAUUUGUGGUUUUGAGGUCAUGGCUUGAGAAAUGUUAACUCUUCAAGUGAAGUUCGGAGCCAAAACCAAUUCUUCUUGGAGGAAAUACCAACGUUUCUGCUAGUGCCUCAUAGCUGAAAAACAGAAAUGAAUACACGGCUGCCGGCUGCAUUUAGACUGGAAGUCCUCUGGAAAAAGCACUGCGGCAUCCCUCGGCCAUUGGUGGCAGCGCUACGGAGCGGACUGCUCGGCUUUGCUUUGAUUGGAAUGGAAGGCAGACUUGCUACUUGAGGACACUCCGUAAUGGUAACUUCAGAGCUGUUAUUUUUGUUUUAGAAAAAGGAAGGGUGGAGGGAGCUUGCGGGGUGCACAGCUCUAAGUGCAUCAGGUUACACCACAGCACGCAUUGCGUUUCCAGGGCUGC